GAACUGGUAAAGGAAACCUAGAGCCAAGCGGUAAAACAAGACCUUCCUGCUCCUCCUCCCUCACCCGGCGGCAGCUCCCUACCCCUGCCUGCGCACCGCCUCUUCCUCCUUCUUACAGCGGCAGCGGUGAGCAUGAGAGCAGCGGAAGCGGCUGGACACCAUAAGUUGCCCGAGGUGGUCUACAGCGAGGAACGACCGCGCCCGACGUCGUCCUCCAACCCGUACUUCCCAACCCGGUGCAUGCCCAAGGAUUGUGGCGCACCUCGAAGGAAGGACCAAGGCCUGAGACGACUUGUCCUCUUCUUCCUCUAACAUCUCCCUGCCGGCUGCUGCUUAUUAGUAGGGAGGGAGGAAGGGAGGGAGCGGAAAAGAUAGAUGGCGGCGGCUCGACCUGGCUGAGUUGUCUGGGGAGUUGCGCACACGUCGAGCGACGGUGAGCGCAUCCGACGCUGAUACACCGAGGUGAUAUUCACCCGUUCUUUCUCUCCCCAUGCGGCCUCCUCCGCUCGGCCCCGAUUAUGUCACAUUACUGGUUCUGGUUGAUCUUUGUUGGUUAAAGUAUGUGUUAUUGUGACCUUGAGAAUAUUCUUUAUUUUAUCAUUGUAUAACUAAAUAUUUAUUUAUGAACCAGAGUCCUCAUCUCCCUAUCUGUGUCCCUCAGUUUUCUAUUGGCCAAAACAAAAGAUGCAAUCUAUUGUUGAAAGACCAACUUGUCCGCAAAAUACCUUGUGAACUGUGGCAGUUGAGCUAGGAGGUCUGUGCGAGUUAGAGGUUAUAUGAGACAAGGGCUUGGUCCUAUUAAAUGGAAGGGCCAUAAUUAUUAGUCCAAGUGAUAUUGAAGUUACAUUUGAGAAUUUUCCCUACUACCUUAGCAAGAAUACGAAGGAUGUGCUGUUAUCAUGUUCAUUCCUACAUUUGGAAAAGAAGGGAUUCAUUUAGCAGUUCUCGGAAGUUUCUUCAAUAAACCAGCGAAUUUAUCAUCUAGUCCAUCAGGUUCUGAGAUUUAUUAGGAAACAUUGAUGAAGGCACUUGCCAAACAUUUUGGUGCCAUACUACUUGUUGUUGAUUUGUUGCUAUUGCCGGACAUACUGAGAACUUCAUGAAUACCUUAAAUAGUGAUAUUUCUGUGUUGAUUUUGUUUGAAACAAAAUUGUAUGUGGCUGUCCAUGCACACACGGUAUUCAAUUUUUUAUAUAGUGUAGAAAUGGUGUGGAAGUUAAAGCAUAUGUGACUGCAUGUGGAUAUAUUUUGUCAACCCAUGUAACAUUGCCUUUAAACAUGAUUUAGGAUUUUCAUUAUGUGCAACUCUGCCCAGAUUGAGUACUAAGUUGUUUGUUUCGUGCCUAGGUGAGGUCAUUAUGGCGGUACUUGAUGCUCUAAUGUUCAUCUGUGUUAUGGAGUUGGUUCUUUUGAAGUUAAAAGUAGUUGUAUGUUCGUACGAUGCUCUUCUCAGGUUUUAAGCCUAGGUGAAGGCAUAACAUGUGGUAAUGUAUGUUCUUUUCGAUCUGCCUGCGGCUGAUUUUUUACCUUUUCUAGGUUGUUUUGCGUACUGUGGUUGCCCUUUAUUCCACAUGGUCUAUGAGUUGCGAGGAUCUAGGGUCUAGGAACUGACAGGCUCUUGUUUCUAUUGCUGAUUAGAGCUUUGGUUAAGGAUUGCAACCGGAGGAGCCGGAGAACACGACCCCUGUCCUAUGUGCGGCCAUAUCCCCCAUGGCUUCUACAAGGACCAUAUCCCCCACGGUUUUUUAGGGAACUCUUUUGAAAGGCAUGUGUGUACAGAACACAUGUUUCAUCGUCUUCUCUUUUUUUCAUGAGUUGUUGAAUAGAUCUUAUGAAGCUUGAUUGAUAGUGUUUCAACUCAGAUGAAGUGUUCUGGAUGAUCAGUUUUGCAGAUCCUGGAGAUCAUUAUACCUUCUGUACAAUGCACUGUUUGGGAGUGUUGCAUGCCUUUGUAUUGUGUUCCUGAACCUUGCUAAGUUUGUCCAUGUCCAA